AUGAACGCUGGCGGCGUGCCUAAUACAUGCAAGUCGAGCGGACAGACGAGGAGCUUGCUCCUCUGACGUUAGCGGCGGACGGGUGAGUAACACGUGGAUAACCUACCUAUAAGACUGGGAUAACUUCGGGAAACCGGAGCUAAUACCGGAUAAUAUAUUGAACCGCAUGGUUCAAUAGUGAAAGACGGUUUUGCUGUCACUUAUAGAUGGAUCCGCGCCGCAUUAGCUAGUUGGUAAGGUAACGGCUUACCAAGGCAACGAUGCGUAGCCGACCUGAGAGGGUGAUCGGCCACACUGGAACUGAGACACGGUCCAGACUCCUACGGGAGGCAGCAGUAGGGAAUCUUCCGCAAUGGGCGAAAGCCUGACGGAGCAACGCCGCGUGAGUGAUGAAGGUCUUCGGAUCGUAAAACUCUGUUAUUAGGGAAGAACAAAUGUGUAAGUAACUAUGCACGUCUGGACGGUACCUAAUCAGAAAGCCACGGCUAACUACGU
rnacentral:rRNA from 1 species